AUCCUUUUGUAGUUCAUAAGCGUGGUGAUUGGGUGUUCAUGCCGCUGGGUGACAUGUGCCACCCUUAAACCUUGUUACAAUGCCGGCACAUUACCCGUCUGAUG
rnacentral:snoRNA from 1 species